CCUACGGGAGGCAGCAGUGGGGGAUAUUGCACAAUGGGGGAAACCCUGAUGCAGCGACGCCGCGUGAGUGAAGAAGUAUUUCGGUAUGUAAAGCUCUAUCAGCAGGGAAGAAAAAAGACGGUACCUGACUAAGAAGCCCCGGCUAACUACGUGCCAGAAGCCGCGGUAAUACGUAGGGGGCAAGCGUUAUCCGGAUUUACUGGGUCUAAAGGGAGCGUAGACGGCAAUACAAGUCGGAAGUGAAAUACCCGGGCUCAACCUGGGAAAUGCUUUGGAUACUGUAUGGUUGGAGUGCGGGAGGGGUAAGCGGAAUUCCUGGUGUAGCGGUGAACUGCGUAGAUAUUAGGAGGAACAC
rnacentral:rRNA from 1 species